UCGUUCGAUCACCUUGUACGGGCC
rnacentral:siRNA from 1 species